CCUACGGGGGGCAGCAGUGGGGAAUAUUGGGCAAUGGGCGAAAGCCUGACCCAGCCACGCCGCGUGAGUGAUGAAGGCCUUCGGGUCGUAAAGCUCUGUGGGGAGGGACGAAAAAGCCUGGUUCUAAUCAGCCGGGCCCUGACGGUACCUCCUUAGCAAGCACCGGCUAACCCUGUGCCAGCAGCCGCGGUAAUACAGGGGGUGCAAACGUUGCUCGGAAUUAUUGGGCGUAAAGCGCGCGUAGGCGGUUACUUAAGUCGGAUGUGAAAGCCCUU
rnacentral:rRNA from 1 species